rnacentral:rRNA from 1 species
AUGACCGUUAUGCUCACCGACAUUGUCAGAGAAGAGGUGGCCAUGAUGAUCGGGGUCUCUAGCGAGAUCAACAAUCCGGGAGUCAAGCUUAGAGACCUCAAUAAUUUCCUUGGUGAUGCCAACAGAAGGAACAUCACAGACAAGAGCUUGAAGGUCUUGGAGGAAGGUCCAUCCAAGGGCAUGGGGUCCCUUAACCCCCUUCUCUUCUGCAUGAGAAAUCUCUCCAUUCAAUUGGGCGUGGUUGGGGAGGAGAUUGAAGAGGACACAAGAGUGUUUGUAGACAUGCUCACAAAGGAGCUACCUGACAAGAGUGAUAACAUCAUGGUGGUCUCCAUUGUUGGUGUUGGUGGGAUUGGCAAGACCACCCUCAACAGGAAUUUCUUUAAUGAUGAGGCCAUCCAACACAAGUUCUCCAAAAAGAUAUGGCUAAGUAUCGCACAAGAGUUCAAUGAAGUUUACUUGUUGAGGACGGCCAUCACUGCAGAUGCUGGAGAACUUCCUAGACAUGGUGGUGUAUCUCAAGAUAAAGCCUUGCUUGUGCUGCUCUUGCCACCAAAUCAAGGACAAGAAAUUCCUAUAUGGGAUGACACGCUGAUAAUCCUGUCGACGUCCAAUCUGCAUCCGAAGGUCUCCAGCUCUCCUUGCCGCUUCCCAGACGAGCUUCAACCUCAGUCGCAGAUCACCAUCCAACGGCUCAUCGCGCACCAGUCUACUGGCAGCGGCUAUGCCAGGAUAGUGCACAGCCGUUGUUCGUCCUCUAAGUUGUGUGCUGCAUGUACUAAACCUGCUGAUGUUGAAUUGCAAUGUUCGGGUAUUCGGUGCCUACAUCGGUGCAUAGGCACAGUUGGAAUGCUGCACAAGAAGCAUAUGGCUUGUCUAGCUCUUUUCUUCUGGAUUCUAGAAGAUAAGAAGCUAGUAAGAUGCUUCUUAGAGCAGUUCCCCUGUGAGCUCAUGAAUGACGGAACGCACAUGUCCCAUUGCUCAUGGGACUUCCUUGCUAGAGCCCUUUCUCCACACAACAUACAUCUAAGAAUAAGAGGGGUUCCGACAGCAUUUGCGGAAGAAUGUUGA